ensembl:lncRNA
AUACCUUUCUGCACCCUGGAAGCUCCGGAGUCUUGCACUCCAGCAGGGCAGAGGAAAUGCCAGCUCUCUCCAGGCCCUGGACAGAAAAUAGUCAAGAAUAAAAGCGAAGGUAAACCAUUCAAUAUCACAGUAAUCCAAGUCUAUGCCCCGACCAGUAAUGCUGAAGAAGCUGAAGUUGAAUGGCUCUGUGAAGACCAACAAGACCUUCUAGAAUUAACACCCCCCAAAAUAUGUCCUUCUAAUUACAGGGGACUGGAAUGCAAAAGUAGGAAGUGUUGAGAUACCUGGAGUACAGAAUGGCCUUGGAGUACAGAAUGAAGCAAGGCAAAGGUUAAUAGAGUUCUGUGAAGAGAAUGCACUGGUCAUAGCAAACACCCUCUUCCAACAACACAAGAUAAAACUCUACACAUGAACAUCACCAGAUGAUCGGCACUGAAAUCAGAUUGAUUAUAUUGUUUGCAGCCAAAGAUGGAGAAGCUCUAUACAGUCAGCAAAACAAGACCGGGAGAUGACUGUGGCACAGAUCAUGAACUCCUUAUUGCCAAAUUCAGACUUAAAUUGAAGAAAGCCGGGAAAACUACUAGACCAUUCAGGUAUGACCUAAAUCAAAUUCCUUAUGAUUAUAUAGUGGAAGUGAGAAAUAGAUUGAAGGGACUAGAUGUGAU